rnacentral:lncRNA from 10 species
AAUUUGUUUUCUUGUCUGGGGCCCCAUUAGAGUGUUAGCUCCUUGAGGUCAGCUACCAUGAUAAGAAUUUCCAUAUUUCCCAAUGCCUAUUAAGGUACCUGGCACACAGUAGAUACUCAAUAAAUGUUUGUUGCAUAAUAGCGUAAAAAAUAACCAAGGGGCCCUAAGUUAAAACACAAUCUUAACUAGAAGUCCCAAAGACUAUGUACCUUUUUUUGAGUAAAAAGUUAAAAAGCAAACAAUAUAUCUCGAUAUUUUAAAGUUUAGGAUGUAAAGAUACUUCAUCUGAUUAUACAAUACUCCUUUCUUCUUCCCAGAUUAAAAUUUUAAUUUCUACUAAUUGGGUAUCAAUACCUAAUCAACUAUCUAUGGAAUUUUCAGAAGUUGCUUGGGAGACAAAUAGAUAAAUGAAUGGUUAAAAUUCCCUCGCAUUGCUCGCAUUAAACAACCAUCAACACUUCGUUUAGUUUUAUAUUUUAUGAUGGGAUGUGAAGUAAAAAGAAGGUGGCCACUAGAGUAAGAUAGGGCUUGGAGCGGAUCUCUGACUCGACCCUCUGUGUGUCCUUCAGUGCUCACCCCUGUAAUCUCAACACUUUGAGGGAGACCUAGGUGGGAGGAUUGAGGCAGGAGGAUCACUUUAGCCCAGGAGUUUGACACCAGCCUUUGCAACACAAUGAGACCCCGUGUCUACUAAAAAUUAAAAAAUUAGCUGGGCGUAGUGGCUCAUGUCUGUGGUCCCAGCUACUCCAGAGGCUGUGGCAAGAGGACUGCUUGAAUCUGGGAGGUUGAAGCUGCAGUACGCCAUGAUUGCACCAUUGCACUGCAGACUGGGUGACAGAGCAAGACUGUGCCUUGGGAGAAAAAAAUGUGUUCCAAGUCACAUAGCCACAAAGGAAGUGAGAGACAGCAUUUGACACCAGGACUAUCCAAAUCUAAAACCUGUGCUCCUGAGGCUACAUCCCUGAAAACUAAGAAUUGAUGUCAUUCUUCUUCAGCCUUUAUCUACUGUUGAUUACAAGGGACCAUUCAUUUGCAGAUAAAUAU